rnacentral:lncRNA from 1 species
UUCUUCUAUUUUCUUCAUUCCAGCUGUCAAAGGCUACUGAGCGCACACUGUUCCAGUUCUUCCUUUCUUCCUUGCUCUGAUGUCUCCAGCUGACUUUAAGUUUCUUCAAUAGAAGAAUUGACUAUCACAAGUUUUAAGAUGAAGAUAAGAAAAAAUAAAAGCUGUUGCUGUAUAAACUUAUUUAGCACUCUUUCCUAGUCACAAGGGAAACAUUCAAUUAGGAAACCCCUAUGGAGCAGAGGGAGAACCCAGCAGGAGAGGAGUCAAAAUCUCUGCAAUCAGCAGUGAUAAAGGGCUGUUAUUUUGACAAGCAGGAUAAAAAUAAAAAGCAUAAAAGGCUGCAGCGGGAGGCCUGAAAUGGACGCUGAGCUUUCUCUUUCCUCAGAGUGGAUUUGUUUGCUAUGGUUUUCUGCAAUGAAGGAAUGGCUCUGAUGAUGUCAAUAAGUGUCUUCUUCGUUUGCAAAUCAGCAUCCACUCAACACUGUAGAAAAGCAUCCAAACCAGAUACAGAAGUUGGAAGCUCAGCACAGCAAAUACUAACCAAUGUUCUGUGGGACUCAUCUUUAUUUGUCAGAUGCUUUAGAGGUCUACCAGACAUCGUAUCUGAUGUUUCACUCUACACUGCCAUAUUUCAGUGUGUAAGUUGGUCAGUAGGUUGCCCAAAACUAUUUCCAAUGGCCAGUUGAAGCAUGGUAACUGGAGAAGUAAACCACUGAAACAUUACACAGCCACAAUAAGCAAAAACAGCCCCGCAAUGUGCAAACCUAGCACCAUCUGCUACAGAACAAAAAUUGUGCAUGCCCUAGGAGUUUUCAUAAGCUAAACCAAACUAGCACUGAAUAACACACACACACAAUCAAAGGAGAAAAGACAGAAAAUCCAAAAUACUGGAUUUUUUCAGUCAAUUUAAAUACUCUUUAAAACUCCCCACAUGCAUUUAAUCCCAAAGAAAUAAAUAACAUACAUGUUGAGUCUAGUCUACGUAA